CUAUACAUGCAGUCGAGCGACAGAUAAGGAGCUUGCUCCUUUGACGUUAGCGGCGGACGGGUGAGUAACACGUGGGUAACCUACCUAUAAGACUGGGAUAACUUCGGGAAACCGGAGCUAAUACCGGAUAACAUUUGGAACCGCAUGGUUCUAAAGUGAAAGAUGGUUUUGCUAUCACUUAUAGAUGGACCCGCGCCGUAUUAGCUAGUUGGUAAGGUAACGGCUUACCAAGGCGACGAUACGUAGCCGACCUGAGAGGGUGAUCGGCCACACUGGAACUGAGACACGGUCCAGACUCCUACGGGAGGCAGCAGUAGGGAAUCUUCCGCAAUGGGCGAAAGCCUGACGGAGCAACGCCGCGUGAGUGAUGAAGGGUUUCGGCUCGUAAAACUCUGUUAUUAGGGAAGAACAAAUGUGUAAGUAACUGUGCACGUCUUGACGGUACCUAAUCAGAAAGCCACGGCUAACUACGUGCCAGCAGCCGCGGUAAUACGUAGGUGGCAAGCGUUAUCCGGAAUUAUUGGGCGUAAAGCGCGCGUAGGCGGUUUCUUAAGUCUGAUGUGAAAGCCCACGGCUCAACCGUGGAGGGUCAUUGGAAACUGGGAAACUUGAGUGCAGAAGAGGAAAGUGGAAUUCCAUGUGUAGCGGUGAAAUGCGCAGAGAUAUGGAGGAACACCAGUGGCGAAGGCGACUUUCUGGUCUGUAACUGACGCUGAUGUGCGAAAGCGUGGGGAUCAAACAGGAUUAGAUACCCUGGUAGUCCACGCCGUAAACGAUGAGUGCUAAGUGUUAGGGGGGUUUCCGCCCCUUAGUGCUGCAGCUAACGCAUUAAGCACUCCGCCU
rnacentral:rRNA from 1 species